rnacentral:rRNA from 1 species
UACGAAGGGGGCUAGCGUUGUUCGGAAUUACUGGGCGUAAAGCGUAUGCAGGCGGAUCGUUAGGUCGGGGGUGAAAUCCCGAGGCUCAACCUCGGAACUGCCUUCGAUACUGGCGAUCUUGAGUCCGGGAGAGGUGAGUGGAACUCCGAGUGUAGAGGUGAAAUUCGUAGAUAUUCGGAAGAACACCAGUGGCGAAGGCGGCUCACUGGCCCGGUACUGACGCUGAGGUGCGAAAGCGUGGGGAGCAAACAGG